rnacentral:rRNA from 1 species
CGGCACGCCUAACACAUGCAAGUCGAACGAAGUAGCAAUACUUAGUGGCAGACGGGUGAGUAACAUGUAGGUAUCUGCCCUUUGGCCUGGAAUAACACGAGGAAACUUGUGCUAAUACCGGAUAAGUCUUUACGGAGAAAGCUUUAUGCACCAUUGGAUGAGCCUGCACUUGAUUAGUUUGUUGGUGGGGUAAUGGCCUACCAAGACUGUGAUCAAUAGCUGAUUUGAGAGGAUGAUCAGCCACAUUGGGACUGAGACACGGCCCAAACUCCUACGGGAGGCAGCAGUGGGGAAUCUUGCACAAUGGAGGAAACUCUGAUGCAGCGAUGCCGCGUGAGUGAAGAAGGCCCUUGGGUUGUAAAGCUCUUUCGUCGGGGAAGAAAAUGACUGUACCCGAAUAAGAAGGUCCGGCUAACUUCGUGCCAGCAGCCGCGGUAAUACGAAGGGACCUAGCGUAGUUCGGAAUUACUGGGCUUAAAGAGUUCGUAGGUGGUUGAAAAAGUUAGUGGUGAAAUCCCAGAGCUUAACUCUGGAACUGCCAUUAAAACUUUUCAGCUAGAGUAUGAUAGAGGAAAGCGGAAUUUCUAGUGUAGAGGUGAAAUUCGUAGAUAUUAGAAAGAAUACCAAUUGCGAAGGCAGCUUUCUGGAUCAUUACUGACACUGAGGAACGAAAGCAUGGGUAGCGAAGAGGAUUAGAUACCCUCGUAGUCCAUGCCGUAAACGAUGUGUGUUAGACGUUGGAAAUUUAUUUUCAGUGUCGC